rnacentral:rRNA from 1 species
GACGCUGGCGGCGUGCCUAAUACAUGCAAGUCGAACGGUCUUUCUAUGGAAGCUUGCUCCACUGAGGAGAUAGUGGCGAACGGGUGAGUAACACGUGGGUAACCUGCCCAUAAGAGGGGGAUAACAUCCGGAAACGGUGCUAAUACCGCAUAGUUUUCUUGAUCGCAUGAUUGAGAAAGGAAAGACGGCCUUUGUGCUGUCGCUUAUGGAUGGACCCGCGGCGUAUUAGUUAGUUGGUGAGGUAACGGCUCACCAAGACGAUGAUACGUAGCCGACCUGAGAGGGUGAUCGGCCACAUUGGGACUGAGACACGGCCCAAACUCCUACGGGAGGCAGCAGUAGGGAAUCUUCCGCAAUGGACGAAAGUCUGACGGAGCAACGCCGCGUGAGUGAAAGAAGGUUUUCGGAUCGUAAAACUCUGUUGUCAGAGAAGAACAAGUUGGAGAGUAACUGCUCCAGCCUUGACGGUAUCUGACCAGAAAGCCACGGCUAACUACGUGCCAGCCGCCGC